rnacentral:lncRNA from 1 species
GUUUAAUCAAAAUGGUUUUCUAUUCCUUCAGGUUUCAUACCAUUUUUCAAGGCAUUCUUUAUUUAAUUACAAGCUUUAUUGACAUAUAAUUAAAUAUGGUUAGCUUGGGUUUCCCCUUUACUUAUUCAGCAACAUCUGUUGUAAAGUGGUCUAAAUAAAACUUUUUGUUAUGAUAGAGAAGUUCCAUAUCUGUGUGUCCAGUUCAGUAAUUAUUAGUCUCGUGUGGCUGUGGGCACUUGAAAUAUGACUAGGCUAGUAUGACUCAGGAACUGAAUUUUUAAUUUUAUUUAAUUUUAAUACUUUAAGUAGCUGUAUGUGGCUAAUGACUAUUAAUUUGGACUGACCAGACCUGUAGUUUUAAGUUCUACCAUUAUUUAGUUAGGAUGCCUUUUUUUGGUUUUGUUUGUUUAUAAAGAUAGGAAUGCUGACUAUUUGUUUCCUCUCACCAAAAUAGUUUGAAAAGUCUUUAUUUUUUUGUUUUAAGUGACUGUGUCACAGAAUUUGA